UUUAUUGACAAAAUUCUACGAAAAACGCUUUACUCGUCCCCUCUCAGAUCAGCCGAGUUUCGAGCUACGAACAAGCAAUCAUUGCUUGGGCUACCUGUGCUCCUUCCCAGCGCGGUCAAGCGUAACUAAUCGUACAACGGCGUCGGUCAAGGAUGCUUGUGGCUACUUUCUCGUUUUAAAAUACGGCUAGCGGCCAGGGAAAAUAGUUUAGCUCGGAUGUUUUGUCACAUAUCGAAUCAAAACAGCCGAAUUCCGAGCUACGGACACGCAACCGUUGCCUGGGCUACCUGUGGAUAUUCUGGCUUGCGUGAAAGAGAGUCCAAGGUCUGCACUACUCUUAGGGCUAAAAAGGCACGCCACGGAAGAUAGGAUAGUUUAGAAAUUGUUGCCAAGUUAUGGCUGUGAUUUAUACUGACAUUUGAAGCAGUAUGUUGGCUUUUUACAGCUCUCUAAGCCUUGGUCCUGACCCAUAAUAAAGCGCAUUCUUCCUGACCCAUUAAA